GACGAACGCUGACGGCGUGCCUAAUACAUGCAAGUCGAGCGAAUCAAUGGGAGCUUGCUCCCUGAGAUUAGCGGCGGACGGGUGAGUAACACGUGGGUAACCUGCCUGUAAGACUGGGAUAACUUCGGGAAACCGGAGCUAAUACCGGCUAGUUUCUUUUCUCGCAUGAGAGAAGAUGGAAAGAUGGUUCUGCUAUCACUUACAGAUGGACCCGCGGCGCAUUAGCUAGUUGGUGAGGUAACGGCUUACCAAGGCGACGAUGCGUAGCCGACCUGAGAGGGUGAUCGGCCACACUGGGACUGAGACACGGCCCAGACUCCUACGGGAGGCAGCAGUAGGGAACCUUCCGCAAUGGACGAAAGUCUGACGGAGCAACGCCGCGUGAGUGAUGAAGGUUUUCGGAUCGUAAAGCUCUGUUGUUAGGGAAGAACAAGUGCGAGAGUAACUGCUCGCACCUUGACGGUACCUAACCAGAAAGCCACGGCUAACUACGUGCCAGCCGCCGCAGUAAAAC
rnacentral:rRNA from 1 species